AAUUAAUUUGGUGUUUAAGCAUAUUAAUUUUUCGUAUUAAGGGGAACAUUUAUUGUUAAUUAAUUG
rnacentral:tRNA from 1 species